rnacentral:rRNA from 1 species
AUUGAACGCUGGCGGCAGGCCUAACACAUGCAAGUCGAACGAGUGGCGGACGGGUGAGUAAUGUCUGGGAAACUGCCCGAUGGAGGGGGGUAACUACUGGAAACGGUAGCUAAUACCGCAUACCAUCGGAUGUGCCCAGAUGGGAUUAGCUAGUCGGUGGGGUAACGGCUCACCUAGGCGACGAUCCCUAGCUGGUCUGAGAGGAUGACCAGCCACACUGGAACUGAGACACGGGCCAGACGCCUACGGGAGGCAGCAGGGGGGAAUAUUGCACAAUGGGCGCAAGCCUGAUGGAGCCAUGCCGCGUGUAUGAAGAAGGCCUUCGGGUUGUAAAGGACUGUCAGCGAGGAGGCGUUACUCGAAGAAGAAGCACCGGCUAACUCCGUGCCAGCAGCCGCGGUAAUUC